rnacentral:rRNA from 1 species
AACCUUACCAGGUCUUGACAUCCUUUGACCAUCCUAGAGAUAGGAUUUUCCCUUCGGGGACAAAGUGACAGGUGGUGCAUGGUUGUCGUCAGCUCGUGUCGUGAGAUGUUGGGUUAAGUCCCGCAACGAGCGCAACCCUUAUUGUUAGUUGCCAUCAUUCAGUUGGGCACUCUAGCGAGACUGCCGCAGACAAUGCGGAGGAAGGUGGGGAUGACGUCAAAUCAUCAUGCCCCUUAUGACCUGGGCUACACACGUGCUACAAUGGAGAGUACAACGAGUCGCGAAGCCGCGAGGCUAAGCCAAUCUCUUAAAGCUCUUCUCAGUUCGGAUUGUAGGCUGCAACUCGCCUACAUGAAGCCGGAAUCGCUAGUAAUCGCGGAUCAGCACGCCGCGGUGAAUACGUUCCCGGG